rnacentral:rRNA from 1 species
UACGGAAGGCAGCAGUGGGGAAUAUUGCACAAUGGGCGAAAGCCUGAUGCAGCUAUGCCGCGUGUAUGAAGAAGGCCUUAGGGUUGUAAAGUACUUUCAUCGGGGAGGAAAAACAAAACUAAUAAUUUUAUUUCUUGACGUUACCCGAAAAAGAAGCACCGGCUAACUCCGUGCCAGCAGCCGCGGUAAUACGGAGGGUGCUAGCGUUAAUCAGAAUUACUGGGCGUAAAGAGCACGUAGGUGGUUUUUUUAAGUCAGAUGUGAAAUCCCUGGGCUUAACCUAGGAACUGCAUUUUGAAAACUGAAAUACUAGAGUAUCGUAGAGGGAGGUAGAAUUCUAGGUGUAGCGGUGAAAUGCGUAGAUAUCUGGAGGAAUACCUGUGGCGAAAGCGGCCUCCUAAACGAAUACUGACACUGAGGUGCGAAAGCGUGGGGAGCAAACAGGGAUUAGAUACC